UUACGGCCACAUCACGCUGAAGACACCAGUUCUUGUACAAUCACUGAAGUUAAGCAACAUCGAUUUUGGUCAUUACCUUGCUGGGUAACCGCUUGGGAAUACCAGGUGCUGUAC